GUGCCAGCAGCCGCGGUAAAACGUAGGUCACAAGCGUUGUCCGGAAUUACUGGGUGUAAAGGGAGCGCAGGCGGGGAAGCAAGUUGGAAGUGAAAUCUACGGGCUCAACUCGUAAACUGCUUUCAAAACUGCUUCUCUUGAGUAGUGCAGAGGUAAGCGGAAUUCCCGGUGUAGCGGUGGAAUGCGUAGAUAUCGGGAGGAACACCAGUGGCGAAGGCGGCUUACUGGGCACCAACUGACGCUGAGGCUCGAAAGCAUGGGUAGCAAACAGGAUUAGAUACCCUGGUAGUCCAUGCCGUAAACGAUGAUUACUAGGUGUUGGAGGAUUGACCCCUUCAGUGCCGCAGUUAACACAAUAAGUAAUCCACCUGGGGAGUACGACCGCAAGGUUGAAACUCAAAGGAAUUGACGGGGGCCCGCACAAGCAGUGGAGUAUGUGGUUUAAUUCGACGCAACGCGAAGAACCUUACCAAGUCUUGACAUCGAGUGACGGAGCUAGAAAUAGUUCUUCCCUUCGGGGCACGAAGACAGGUGGUGCAUGGUUGUCGUCAGCUCGUGUCGUGAGAUGUUGGGUUAAGUCCCGCAACGAGCGCAACCCUUAUGCUUAGUUACUACGCAAGAGGACUCUAGGCAGACUGCCGUUGACAAAACGGAGGAAGGUGGGGAUGACGUCAAAUCAUCAUGCCCUUUAUGACUUGGGCUACACACGUACUACAAUGGCGUUUAACAAAGAGAAGCGAGACCGCGAGGUGGAGCAAAACUCAAAAACAACGUCCCAGUUCAGAUUGCAGGCUGCAACUCGCCUGCAUGAAGUCGGAAUUGCUAGUAAUCGCAGAUCAGAAUGCUGCGGUGAAUACGUUCCCGGGCCUUGUACACACCGCCCGU
rnacentral:rRNA from 1 species